rnacentral:rRNA from 1 species
GGGGAAUAUUGGACAAUGGGCGAAAGCCUGAUCCAGCCAUGCCGCGUGUGAGAAGAAGGUCUGGGGAUUGUAAAGCACUUAAAUGGGGGAGGAAGGGGAGAUAUCUAAUAUGAGAGUGUUUAGACGACACACAGAGAAUAAGCCCGGUGUAACUCUGGGACAGCAGCCGCGGUAAUACAGAGGGUGCAAGCGUUAAUCGGAAUUACUGGGCGUAAAGCGCGCGUAGGUGGUUAGUUAAGUUGGAUGUGAAAUCCCCGGGCUCAACCUGGGAACUGCAUUCAAAACUGACUGACUAGAGUAUGGUAGAGGGUGGUGGAAUUUCCUGUGUAGCGGUGAAAUGCGUAGAUAUAGGAAGGAACACCAGUGGCGAAGGCGACCACCUGGACUGAUACUGACACUGAGGUGCGAAAGCGUGGGGAGCAAACA